rnacentral:misc_RNA from 1 species
GAAGUGUUCACCUGAUACUUGAAUGGUCUCUUUGCACGUACCCAUACUAGGAAUCUUUUCUCCAUUUGCCACUGCCACUUGUAAAGCACUUUGAGAAUCCAGGGUUGCUCCCAAUUUUUGUGCCGCAAUUUUGCUGAUGAAGUUAUGGGUGCUACCUGAAUCGAUUAAUACUGUGACUAAACAACCUCUGAUGUUGGCUAUUAAUUGCAUAGUCCGAGAAUGUUGGAGGCUGGUGAUGGCAUGCAGGGAGAUGGUUGGUUCAGCAACUGCGACAUUCUCACUUUCCUCUGUCUCGGUUAUAGCUCCCUCUUCCAAUUCAAGUCAAAACAACUUUUUGCAUUGAUGGCCGAAUGUGUAUGGCUCAUCACAAUUAUAACAAAGUCCCUUUGCCCUCCGAUCAUCCAUUUUAGUUCUGGAUAACCUUUUGACGAAGGGUGUGGUUAUACUUUCCCCCCUAGAAGCUGGCGCAUUAUUCCCUCCUGAACCUGUUGGUUUUGUUACAGAUUGAGUAGGUGCAGUAAUUUUGGAAUUAUUCCAGAAGUUGCGUCAGCUGUUGUUCACACUUGCUAGUUGCUGCUUCUUCUCAAAGGCCCUCGCCAAGUUCAUUGCAGUCCCCAAAUUGGGCGGAUUUUGCAUCUCCACAUCCAAACGAAUCGCCUCAGAUAAUCCUGUAGUAAAAAAAUUGACCUGUUGAUCUGUACGAACUGAAUCAACACGAGCUAGCAAGCUUUGAAACUGUUUCUGGUAUUCCUCCACUGUCCCUGUUUGCUUCAAGUUGAUCAGUUCCCCGAGAGGAUUACCUCUCAGUAAUGGCCCGAACCUUAGAUUGCAGUAUUCUUUAAAAGAAUGCCAAACCAGGUCUGCUUCCUCUUGUUCCAACUUGUAAAACCAUAAUUGCGCCUCCCCAGUCAUAUGAAAAGCUGAGAGACUGACAUUCUCUGUUUCUGGUGUCUUCUGAUUAAGAAAAAAUUG